CCUACGGGUGGCAGCAGUGAGGAAUAUUGGUCAAUGGGCGCGAGCCUGAACCAGCCAAGUCGCGUGAAGGAUGACUGCCCUACGGGUUGUAAACUUCUUUUAUAAAGGAGUAAAGUGAGGCACGUGUGCCCUUUUGUAUGUACUUUAUGAAAAAGGAACGGCCAACUCCGUGCCAGCAUCCGCGGUAAUACGGAGGAUCCGAGGGUUAUCCGGAUUUAUUGGGUUUAAAGGGAGCGUAGAUGGGUUGUUAAGUCAGUGGUGAAAGUUUGCGGCUCAACCGUAGAAUUGCCAUUGAUACUGGCUGCCUUGAGUGCGGUUGAGGUAGGCGGAAUUCGUGGUGUAGCGGUGAAAUGCAUAGAUAUCACGAAGAACUCCGAUUGCGAAGGCAGCUUACUAAACUGCCACUGACGUUGAUGCUCGAAAGUGUGGGUAUCAAACAGGAUUAGAUACCCCUGUAGUC
rnacentral:rRNA from 1 species